rnacentral:rRNA from 1 species
GUAUACGGAGGGUGCAAGCGUUACUCGGAAUCACUGGGCGUAAAGGGCGCGUAGGCGGAUUAUCAAGUCUCUUGUGAAAUCUAAUGGCUUAACCAUUAAACUGCUUGGGAAACUGAUAGUCUAGAGUGAGGGAGAGGCAGAUGGAAUUGGUGGUGUAGGGGUAAAAUCCGUAGAUAUCACCAAGAAUACCCAUUGCGAAGGCGAUCUGCUGGAACUCAACUGACGCUAAGGCGCGAAAGCGUGGGGAGCAAACAGGAUUAGAUACCCUGGUAGUCCACGCCCUAAACGAUGUACACUAGUUGUUGGGAUGCUAGUCAUCUCAGUAAUGCAGCUAACGCAUUAAGUGUACCGCCUGGGGAGUACGGUCGCAAGAUUAAAACUCAAAGGAAUAGACGGGGACCCGCACAAGCGGUGGAGCAUGUGGUUUAAUUCGAAGAUACGCGAAGAACCUUACCUGGGCUUGAUAUCCUAAGAACCUUUUAGAGAUAAGAGGGUGCUAGCUUGCUAGAACUUAGAGACAGGUGCUGCACGGCUGUCGUCAGCUCGUGUCGUGAGAUGUUGGGUUAAGUCCCGCAACGAGCGCAACCCACGUAUUUAGUUGCUAACGGUUCGGCCGAGCACUCUAAAUAGACUGCCUUCGUAAGGAGGAGGAAGGUGUGGACGACGUCAAGUCAUCAUGGCCCUUAUGCCCAGGGCGACACACGUGCUACAAUGGCAUAUACAAUGAGACGCAAUACCGCGAGGUGGAGCAAAUCUAUAAAAUAUGUCCCAGUUCGGAUUGUUCUCUGCAACUCGAGAGCAUGAAGCCGGAAUCGCUAGUAAUCGUAG